GACGAACGCUGGCGGCGUGGAUUAGGCAUGCAAGUCGAACGGUAUCAUCCUUUCGGGGGUGAGAGAGUGGCGAACUGGUGAGUAACACGUAGGUUAUCUACCCUCAAGACGGGGACAACCCAGGGAAACUUGGGCUAAUACCGGAUGUGAGCUAUCGUGAGAUAGUUUGAAAGGUGGCUUCGGCUGCCGCUUGAGGAUGAGCCUGCGUCCUAUUAGCUAGUUGGUGAGGUAACGGCUCACCGAGGCAGUGAUAGGUAGGCGGCCUUAACGGGUGGUCGCCCACACUGGGAUUGAGAUACGGCCCAGACUCCUACGGGAGGCAGCAGUCGAGAAUAGUCUACAAUGGGCGCAAGCCUGAACCAGCCAUCCCGCGUGAAGGAAGAAGGCCCUACGGGUUGUAAACUUCUUUUCUGUUUGAAGAAUAAGCUCGUCGAGACGAGUGAUGCCGGUAGGACAGGAAUAAGCAUCGGCUAACUCCGUGCCAGCAGCCGCGGUAAU
rnacentral:rRNA from 1 species